UACGUAGGUGGCAAGCGUUGUCCGGAAUUAUUGGGCGUAAAGCGCGCGCAGGCGGUCCUUUAAGUCUGAUGUGAAAUCCCACGGCUCAACCGUGGAAGGUCAUUGGAAACUGGGGGACUUGAGUACAGAAGAGGAAAGCGGAAUUCCAAGUGUAGCGGUGAAAUGCAUAGAGAUUUGGAGGAACACCAGUGGCGAAGGCGGCUUUCUGGUCUGUAACUGACGCUGAGGCGCGAAAGCGUGGGGAGCAAACAGG
rnacentral:rRNA from 1 species